UAGCGGAGCAUGUGGUUUAAUUCGACGCAACGCGAAGAACCUUACCCAGGCUUGACAUGUAGCUGCAUCCCGGGGAAACCCGGGCGCCUUCGAGGGUGCUACACAGAUGCUGCAUGGCUGUCGUCAGCUCGUGUCGUGAGAUGUUGGGUUAAGUCCCGCAACGAGCGCAACCCGCGUCGCUAGUUACUCGUGUCUAGCGAGACAGCCGCCUUGAUGGGCGGAGGAAGGCGCGGAUGACGUCAAGUCAGCAUGGCUCUUACGCCUGGGGCGACACACACGCUACAAUGGCCACGACAGUGCGCGGCAAACUCGCAAGGGGGAGCAAAUCGCCAAACGUGGUCUCAGUGCAGAUCGGGGGCUGCAACUCGCCCCCGUGAAGGCGGAGUUGCUAGUAACCGCGA
rnacentral:rRNA from 1 species